CUUCCGCAUUCAACACAUGCAUAUGCCCCUGUCCGUGGAGGUUACUGUGAACAAAACAGCGUGUCCAAAGCAACCACAUGUCUGGCUGAAUGAUCUAGCAUGGAAUAACAAGGCAUCGACCACUGGAGUCAGCCUUUUUGUUGGUUUUACAUGACCCAGUUGGGCAAUGCAGGGCUUGUGCUUCAUUGAGGUUCUUAGUCAGCUCUACCGAACUGUCUUCCCUCAGUUGGACCUUGUUCCCUAUCGGGAUCAAUGGAAGCCAUCGGGGUGGUAUGUAUUCCGACGUGAGCGGUGAAAUGCUUAGACCGUUGGAAGACAAACGACAGCGAAGGCAUUCCGCCAGAAUGUUUUCAUUAAUCAAGAACGAGAGUGUGGGGAUCGAAGAUGAUCAGAUACCAUCGUAGUCCAUUACCGUAAACUAUGCCAACUCGGCAUUGGGAGUCUGUUCACUUUGAAGACUCUCCCAGCAUCAUCCCCCAAUAACGAGAAAUCCAAGUCUAUGGGUUCAGGGGGGAGUACAGUCGCAAGGCUGAAACUUAAAGGAAUUGACGGAAUGACACCACAAGGCGUGGAGUAUGCGGCUUAAUUUGACCCAACACGGGGAAGCUUACCAGGUCAGACACAGUAAGGAUUGACAGAUUGAGAGCUCUUUCUUGAUCCUAUGGAUGGUGGUGCAUGGCCGUUUCUGGUUCGUGGAGUGAUCUGUCUGCUUAAUUGCGAUAACGAACGAGAUCUCUACCUCUAAAUAGGCGCCGGUCUCGCAUGUAAGUAGGGAUGUGUUGGGGGCCUUCGUGUCCCCUCAUGUCCUGAGAGUGCCGGGAUCGCUUCUUAGACGGACUGUGCAUGCCUUUAAUGCACGGAAGAGGGAGUCAAUAGCAGGUCUGUGAUGCUCCUAGAUGUUCUGGGCUGCACGCGCACUACACUGGCACAGUAAACGAGUUGCACCUGCUUCGGCAGUCCUGCUUAGAAGUGAGCGUGGGAAAUCUUAGAAAACUGUGCCGUGCUGGGGAUAGAUGAUUGCGAUUAUUUGUCUUGAACGAGGAAUGCCUAGUAGAGGUACUUCAUCAGAGUACCUUGAUUGUGUCCCUGCCAUUUGUACACACCGCCCGUCGUUGCUACCGAUUGGCUGUAAAAUAGAGGCCUUAAGAGUCGCUUCCGCAAAGCUUUGCUUUUGAGGUUGUGACAAAUCUGGCCAAUAUUUCAUUGCUAGAGGAAGCAAAAGUCGUAACAAGG
rnacentral:rRNA from 1 species